CCUUGCACGAGGGAGUUUCCCCAGCCCCAGGUGCAGCACAUCAGCUGCGGGGCCUGCCCGCAUCCUAAAAGGAGGUGUGGGGAGUGCUGGUGCUUGGUUUGCUUCCUUUGCUACCUGGGCUCCAAGCAAAGAGUAAGCUGCGGGGCACUGGUCCUGGUAGAAGGUGUAAUAAAGUGGGGUUUUGUGCUGGAGCAAAAUGCAGAUAUAGAAAAGAAGAGCGUAAAAUCAUGAAACUUACCCUAAACGUCUGCAGGGUGUCUGAGCAAGUUUCCCAGCAUAUUGGGAAUUGCUUCCAUAUUCCUUUCCUGGCGUAACCACCUGCAAAACCUGGGGGCAGCCUGUGGUGGGGCUGCAAGAAGUGGGUCCCCAGCCGGGGAGCUCCAUCGCCUGGCUCCAGCAGCAAGCCCUGACACACGCCUGUCCUCCGUGGAUGCUCUGGGACUGAUCACCAAGAGGAGAAGGAGAGGGCUGGACCUUCCUGGCCCACGCGCUGGGGGACGGUGCCGUUCUGUGCAGACCACAGCAGAACACCAAACCUGCUGGCAGAGGACCACUCUGUGAGGCUGUGGGAAGGCUGCCGAGUGGGAAAUGCAGCGGUGAAAAUGCCCAGCCCUAAGGGCAGAGGGGGAAGGAGCAGUUUUAGCUCCAGAGGUGCUGCUGCCCACUGCUUCACUCCUGGCACCCCCUGAGAGAAAAGAGCCGUCACUGGGAUUGGUGCUGAGAGGAUUGGUUAAGCCAACCAAGAACCUAAAGAGGCACGUGUGCUUCUGUCAGGCAGGAGAGCCGAGAUGUCAGAACGAGGAUCUUGAAUGCGAGUGGAAUUGCCGUGCUUCUCUCGUGCUAAGAAAGCUGAUUUACAAGGCCCUGGGUCAGUACUGCUCUUCCUGCUGCCUCCAUAAAUGCUAAAGAAGAAAUUGUUCCACUUUUUUUUUCUUUUUUCCCUGCACUGUUGAGUUUCCCUGCUUGAAUAAUGAUGGACGUGAGAUGGAAAUGACUUAUGCCUCGUGGCUUUCAGUGUAUAUCGCUGUGCGUGUAGCACGUCCCUGCACUGCGAUGGGGGGAAUGCGGCACAAGUCUUCUCAGACAUGAGAGAAUCCGGAGAAGUGACAUUAUGAACGCCUUGUGCCUGAGAAAGGUAUAAUUAGAGCUUGUGUUUUAUAAAUAGGCACCCAUAGAUUCAAUCCUCCUUUGAGAAUUCUUUAUUAUAUGCAUUUUUUGAUGUUGAGUAUGGGCUGAGCUUGUUCUGCAGCCGUGUUCUAUCAAGUUAUAAACUCAGAAAAGAUGACUCAAAUCUCAGGAUAUUAGAGCCCAUUUGUUCUGGUGCUAAAAGAACGACUUUUUACAGCUAGUAGGUGCUAGCUUAUACGAUAGCGCACCAGGAUUCUUGCCGUUUCUGAAGUACAGGAAAUAAUUUUGGAGAAUAUUUUACUGAGCCCUUCUGUACGUAGUCACAUUCUGGAUUAUGCAGAAAAUGGAAAAUGCAUUUUAUGGAAAUUUCAGCAUUUGCUUUCAAUUGUGCUAGCAAAAACCACCCGUUUUUAGUACAUGUACAUGAUUUCUGAGGUUAUCUGUGGAAGAGAUACUUAUUUAAAAGGAAAUUUCUGUUAAUUUCAAUACUUGGCAAAAUCACUAUUUACAUUUUUAUAUACAGUAUUUUUUAAAAAGUAGAUAGUUGAAAAGAGCUAUACAAACUUUUUUAUUUAAAGACAUGAAAGUUGUCUGUUUUCUGAGGUUUAUCCCAUUCUUAACUUUCUCUGCAACCUCCCCUUUCAAUUGAAAUUUUCAGAGAAUGCAUUUUGUGGAACAUUUGUGCAUUGUAACUGAUGAUGCACUGGAACCCAUCCAGAUGAGCUCUUUUACACAGCAGCUCUGCGGAAACAUCACAAAUUGCUCUUUGAAUUCUAAAACUCAAAAAUUAUUUGGGUGCUAUAGGUUGUUUGUUCAAAUUUUAGACAACUUGGAACACCAUCAAAGAAGGCUGAGCUGUAGCUGUAUGCUUCUCAGAAGAUUUUGCACAGCAGUACAGUGUUGUCCUUACUUAUGUGAUGUGUUUGUACAAGGAAGAGGGGCAAAAAAAAAAAAAAAAUAGAGAAUAUUGCCUGAGAAUAUUAGGACAAGCUGUUUCUAAUCUAAUAAAUUUUUUUCUUUUCUUUUUUUUUCUUAAUUUGAAGAUUUUCAAUUAAAAUUUGUUAACUACUGUUACCUCUGGGAAUGCUUUAUUCAUUACCUGGCAGAUUCUACUGUUUUUUGGUCAUUGUAAAAUUGUUUCAAAAUUCCAAAGCAUUUGUGAAUUUAGACACAAGAUACAACUCUGAAAAUACAGAGUAGCCAAGUUUGUUUGUUUGUUUGCUCUUUGUUGUUUUUCUUCCAUGUUGUUCGAAAAGACUCCAAGUUUUCCAAAAUAUCUAUCAUGUAUUUAGAAAGCAGAAACAAAGUCUUUGUUACCAGGGUUCCUAUCAUGGCAGUUCUCAGGUGGCCGUUCCCAGACAGUGUAUGACAUUAAAGUCAUUGGGCAACUAGAUUGAAAUUCUUGAAUACUUUUCAAAAUAUGUAUCUCAGAAGUGAACAAAUCACAAAAUCAAAGCAUCUCAGAAUGGCUGAGGUAGGAAGAUGCCUCUGGAAAUGUUGCACAGGAUGGCUUUGAAUAUCUGCAGAGAAGGAGACUCCAGAAACUCUCUGGGCCAUUGGAUAGAUGGGAAUUACCCACCCGAUUCUCAUGGAGGUCCGGGUAACAAGAUUUUGAUCUGAGCCAUUAACAAGACUACAGGGCAGAACGCCUCCCGUUACCGCAGUGUGCUUGUUUCAGAAGGCCAGAGGUACCUUGGAAAUGCCGCUGGCGUGGAUGCUGUUAGGACCUGCAAUACAACACGCACGUUUCCAGCCAAUGUUAGAAUGUGAAGAAAUGGUCAACUUCUUGACCAACGCAGGGGCUAUUAGCUGUCGGUGGUUCUGUCCAAAGGACGCAAAAAUGAAACCAGCUGGAAUUUGCCAUGACCAGGUAUUAGGAUCUGACUGAACUGGCAGAGCUCACUGAAAAUCAGCGGCCUGCCAGCUCCCCACUGUGCCAUGCGAGGGGCAUCCAGGGGCAGGUUACUGCGCCCAAAAGCAGCGCCUGGGUCUGUGCAGAGCAGGCAGGGUACCGCAGGGCUCUGCCCUCAGAUGUCUGAAUUGCUUGUUACUCUGCUCAUCAUGAACGCUACCUUCAGGACGCUGACCGAACAUACCCAGUCUCAGUUUUUUCUAGUCGUUCAGCUUCCAUCUUCUGUCACUAGCAUUAAGACAUUCAGGAGAGGAAGAAAAGAAACAAAAAGGCAAGUGUGAAGUUUGUGAACCAGUCUUGAAUGUCUGUGCAAACUGUCAAACAAGUACUUGCAAACCACCGAUACAUGUAGCUGUUCCAAAUGACUCCAAACAAAAAUACACUGCCGAAUCACAGGAAAUAUCAUACGGCCUCACCGCUGCUCUGUGUGAAGUACCCAGCUCCUUGAGGAGACACUAACAUGCUACAACGGCCACAGGGCAUUCACAGUAAACUAGCUGAAGUGGCAGAGUGUGUCUGUGUCCCUGUGUCAUGUCCAUUCCCCCCCUUCCUGCCCCUGGAAAUAUUUUUUCUGUGUGUGUGUACAGCUGGUAUGAGAUUAUUAUUUUUUUCUGCAAGCUUCCUGGACUGGGGGGAGGUGAGGGAGAUUCAGAUGAAAGAAUUUAGUCUCUGGAGCACCCCUGAUUGGCAUAGCUGUUAUUGACUCCUGACCUGCUUUCUUUCUCCAUUGCUCUGCAACUAGCCUGAGAGCCAGGGAACAGGAAUCCAGAAGUGAAAAAAAAAUAUAUUGGCUAUUGUUGAUUGAGAUUUAUGUGAUCUUCCGUGAAAUUAAUAGAAUGUUAUUGAGGAAAUGUCU